UGGGGAAUCUUGGACAAUGGGCGCAAGCCUGAUCCAGCCAUGCCGCGUGAGUGAAGAAGGUCUUCGGAUUGUAAAGCUCUUUUACCAGGGACGAUAAUGACGGUACCUGGAGAAUAAGCCCCGGCAAACUUCGUGCCAGCAGCCGCGGUAAUACGAAGGGGGCUAGCGUUGUUCGGAAUUACUGGGCGUAAAGCGCACGUAGGCGGGUCGUUAAGUCAGGGGUGAAAUCCCGGAGCUCAACUCCGGAAC
rnacentral:rRNA from 2 species